rnacentral:rRNA from 1 species
AGCGAACGCUGGCGGCGUGCCUAACACAUGCAAGUCGAACGUGAAAAGGGAAACCUGAGUCCAGUGGCGUACGGGUGAGUAACGCGUAGGUAAUCUACCCCAGAAUCUGGAAUAACCUGCCGAAAGGCGGGCUAAUACUGGAUAGAGCGAGGGAACUCGUAAGAGAGUUUUUCGGGAAAGGGAGCCCGCAAGGGCCUUCGUUCUGGGAUGAGCCUGCGUCUCAUUAGCUAGUUGGUAAGGUAACGGCUUACCAAGGCGAUGAUGAGUAGCUGGUCUGAGAGGAUGAUCAGCCACACUGGAACUGAAACACGGUCCAGACUCCUACGGGAGGCAGCAGUGGGGAAUCUUGCGCAAUGGACGAAAGUCUGACGCAGCCACGCCGCGUGAGUGAAGAAGGCCUUCGGGUUGUAAAGCUCUGUCGGAUGGGACGAACAUCUUCAUAGUGAAUAGCUAUGAGGACUGACGGUACCAUCAAAGGAAGCACCGGCUAACUCCGUG